rnacentral:lncRNA from 1 species
CUGAAAUUUUGCUUACCUUUCCAGUUAAUUAUAUUUUCUUAUUCUGUGAAUCCCUUCCAACAAGAAAAAUUUGCUUUUAUUUUUAUGACUUGUAUUACACAUAGUCUUUUUUUUUAAAGGAGAGAGAGAGAGAGAAUCUUUUUUGUAGAUGGAUACAGCACAAUGCCUUUAUUUUUAUGUGGUGCUGAGAAUCGAACUCGGGUCCUGCCCAUGCUAAGUGAACGUUCUACCACUGAGCCACAAUCCCAGCCCGUAGUCUUUUUAUUUUAUUUUCCCCUUGCUUUAUCUCUCUUAUUAGAAGAUAGAAAGUGUUAUGCAAUUAAAAAUUUUUAUUCCCCCACAUUCCUAACUGCACUGGAGAUGCCGAUAAACUCUUUACUCAGUGUGAUCAAAUGAAUUCUCCUCCUUCAUAGGACACACACAGCCACUAGAAAUCAACUUGCAUGUCUGGCUCAUUUUCUUCAGUGCACAUCAUUCUCAAAGGGCAAACCUGUCUCCUUUUUAUCUCUAGUAUUCUUUUAAUGUUCCACCUUAACUGUUUUUCAGUGAGGAUUAGAAUCAGUUCUUUGUUGUAAUUUAUCUAUUCAUUUGUCCUUUCAUUGAGCACAAACUCUGUUCUUGGUCCUAUGCUAGGUGAUAAAAACACAAGGAUGAGGGAUAUGUCCUGUCUCCAAAUAGCUCAGAGUAUUGUAGAAAAUAACAAUAUGCAGAAAAAAUAUUGUAAUAAG